rnacentral:lncRNA from 1 species
UUGACAGAAAGAGACAGAAUAGUCUUGUCGGGGAACCUGUUGAAGAUUCAGGAGUUGAGAAAUAUGUUUAGAGAUUCUCAGGGCCAAAAAUGUGCUUAGAGGUCAAACACAGGAAAGCAACUUGGAUGAUUGGAGACCCUGUUCAAAGAUGACCUCCUUUGUGACAACUUUCAGGCCCCAGAGUGAGUUGUUGUUGCCUCAGUGCCCUCAGGCUCUGAAAGUGCCUCUUCCUGCCUGGACCACAGCAUGCAGCACACCGGUUGAUGAACACCUGACCCCAGGUCUACUCCUCCACCAGAAGAAAGACGGCUUCAACAGCAGUAAGAAGAAGGAAUCGGAGGUGUGCGAGGCAAGAAUCAAAGAGAGCAGCUAGAAGAUGUUUGCAGGGAGUGGAGCUGCUCGAAUGUGAAUGUCCUGGCAGGAGGGGCGCAGCUGUGCUCACGAAGGUCUCCAGCAGGUUUAAUUCCGGCACUACCUCACCCAGUGUGAAGUCCAUCGUCCCAGUGGCCUUUGCCAUGGGCUGAGUGUGUGUCCUGCAGCAUCAUGAAGCUGGGAGAAGAUGUCCACUUGGGUAAUUCAUUGAAGGACUGAACAAAAUCUUGUGCUAAUCUCCGAUCAGUCACUCCCCUGAGCAGCCAUCAAAGGAGGUUCUGGCUGCCAAGAAAUGACCAGCUGGCCACACAGGACCCCAAGGGAAAAGACAGCCAGGCUCUGGGGCAGAUAACCGGCUCCCCAACGGCUUGUGGGAACCUUAUGGUGGUCCCUGUGGCCUUUAGGUCUUGCUGGGCACUUGGAGCAGGCCAGGGGCUGUCUCUCUCUCUUUUUUCUUUCUCUUUUCUCUCUGUCUCACUCUGACGCCCAGUCUCGCUCUGGCACCCAGGGGCCAUCUUGGCUCACUGCAACCUCCGCCUUCUGGUUCAAGUGAUUCUUCUGCCCCAGCCUCCUAAGUAGCUGAGAUUACAGGCAUGUGUGCCAUCACACCUGGCUAAUUUUUUUGUAUUUUAGUAGAGAAGUGGUUUCAACAUAUUGGCCAAGCUGGUCUUGAACUCCCAAUCUCAAGUAAUCUGCCCACCUCAGCUUCCCAAAGUGCUGGGAUUACAGGCAUAAGCCACUGUGCCCGGCCUGGCUGUCUCUAUUUCUAUUGAUGACCUCACAGCCUGUAGACCCUAGGGUCUUACCACAUACAUUUAUUCUCUCUCCCAUCCUUCCUGCAGCCUGGGAAGCUGUAGAAAGAAGGCUAGGUCUACUCUCCCUGACACUUCUCCAGGACAUUGGUUUGUACCCACCAAUCCCAUCUCUAUUGUCUCCUUGGCAAAACCCUCCUUCUCCCUUCUCAUUUGUUCUCAGUUGACCUUUGGUGAAAUGUUUCACUGGCAAUAGUGACUGAGCAAAGGCAUCAGAAGAUGAAGGCAAGGAUACUCCAAAGUCUAAGUCUACAUAUUACACCUCACAGAGGGUUUCUCAUGGAGAAUACUUGGUCAUGACACCUGCUGGCAGAGGGUACACAUCCCCAGCCUUCAGAUUUCCGCAAAGCCAUGCUGCUGCUGUGGAUAUCGGGUGCCACUAUCACAGGGAAGAAGCUUCCUCUACUCUUUUUUCAGAGCUUUUAUCCCAUUGGCCUUGCCAUGGCUUCUGCAGACUCUGGCUGUCUGCCUGACCACUCACCAGGGACAAGCAACGAGAGCCCUAACCAAGAGACUGGGCAGGUCACAGGCCAAUUUUCCAAGCUCAAUUUCCAGGCCGCCUUCCCUACCCCGCAGACCCCAGCUCCAGCUUUCUGAUAUGAAGCCCAGGGAUCUACUAAGCCUAAAGCUACUUUUCCCUUUUCUUCAAAGGCAAGGAAGGAUUUAACUUCCAAAUCUUCUAGUGAAGAACAGAAAGGAAAAAAAAAAAAAAAAAAAAAAAA